rnacentral:rRNA from 1 species
GGAAUAUUGCACAAUGGGCGCAAGCCUGAUGCAGCCAUGCCGCGUGUAUGAAGAAGGCCUUCGGGUUGUAAAGUACUUUCAGCGAGGAGGAAGGCAUAAAGGUUAAUAACCUUUGUGAUUGACGUUACUCGCAGAAGAAGCACCGGCUAACUCCGUGCCAGCAGCCGCGGUAAUACGGGGGGUGCAAGCGUUAAUCGGAAUUACUGGGCGUAAAGCGCACGCAGGCGGUUUGUCAAGUCGGAUGUGAAAUCCCCGGGCUCAACCUGGGAACUGCAUUCGAAACGGGCAAGCUAGAGUCUUGUAGAGGGGGGUAGAAUUCCAGGUGUAGCGGUGAAAUGCGUAGAGAUCUGGAGGAAUACCGGUGGCGAAGGCGGCCCCCUGGACAAAGACUGACGCUCAGGUGCGAAAGCGUGGGGAGCAAACAGGAUUAGAUACCCGAG